UACGUAGGGGGCUAGCGUUGUCCGGAUUUAUUGGGCGUAAAGAGCGUGUAGGCGGCCAGGUAGGUCCGUUGUGAAAACUCGAGGCUCAACCUCGAGACGUCGGCGGAAACCCUCUGGCUAGAGUCCGGAAGAGGCGAGUGGAAUUCCUGGUGUAGCGGUGGAAUGCGCAGAUAUCAGGAGGAACACCAAUAGCGAAGGCAGCUCGCUGGGACGGUACUGACGCUAAGGCGCGAAAGCGUGGGGAGCGAACAGG
rnacentral:rRNA from 1 species